GCCUUCGUGGUGUAAUGGUCAGCACACUGAGCCGGUAUUUCAGAGGUCCGCGGUUCGAUUCCCGGCGAAGGCA
rfam:Stegodyphus mimosarum contig123842, whole genome shotgun sequence.